GACGAACGCUGGCGGCGUGCCUAAUACAUGCAAGUAGAACGCACAGUUUAUACCGUAGCUUGCUACACCAUAGACUGUGAGUUGCGAACGGGUGAGUAACGCGUAGGUAACCUGCCUGGUAGCGGGGGAUAACUAUUGGAAACGAUAGCUAAUACCGCAUAAUAUUGAUUAUUGCAUGAUAAUUGAUUGAAAGAUGCUAUUGCAUCACUACCAGAUGGACCUGCGUUGUAUUAGCUAGUAGGUGAGGUAACGGCUCACCUAGGCGACGAUACAUAGCCGACCUGAGAGGGUGAUCGGCCACACUGGGACUGAGACACGGCCCAGACUCCUACGGGAGGCAGCAGUAGGGAAUCUUCGGCAAUGGACGAAAGUCUGACCGAGCAACGCCGCGUGAGUGAAGAAGGUUUUCGGAUCGUAAAGCUCUGUUGUAAGAGAAGAACUGGUGUGAGAGUGGAAAGUUCACACUGUGACGGUAUCUUACCAGAAAGGGACGGCUAACUACGUG
rnacentral:rRNA from 1 species